CAUGAUUUUGUGUUAUAGGAUACCCCUUGCUGUGUUGUAUUUUGGAGUUCAUUCUCUGGUGUUCAGAAACGUGCUUUAACUCCUUACUGGAGUUAAAUUUUUAGAAAGUCCGCCAUUACACAACUCUGCCGAGCAGCACAUGAGAACUGGAGUUAUGUUCUUCUUUGUGAGGUAGGUAAAAGUGCAUUGUUAUACAAUUCUAAAAGCUUUUUCUAAAUGUUGGAUGUUUUGUAGCAGAAGUGUGUUUUGCUGUAGCUGUUUCAUUUUGUACUGUGAGGCUAGUGACUGCAUGUGGCUAACUUAGCAUAGCAUGUUAGCUUUUCCAAUGUGGCAGUUUUAAAAAAAAAAAAAAAUGUUGUGGAUUUGAACAAGCUAACACUAGCUAAUAAUCUUUUCUUCCCCUGUGUUUCUAAAAAUAUGUGUUCUGCUGUCAAAAAGAAGUGGUAGGCCUACUUGAUCAGAUGGAGAAACCUGCUGUUCACAUUUCAAAUAGGCUAACUUACACAACGAGGCCACGAUGCUGAUAAAAGUGCAAUUUGGAGGCAAGAAAAAAUAUAUUAAACUGGAAGAAGAUUGUUUCUUGGAUUUUUUCAGUGCGGUCCAGCACAAGUUUGUGAUACCAGAGGAUACAGCAUCGAAAGUCACAGAUGACCAUGGCAUAGAGGUGGAUGAGGAUGUAUUUCAAGAACUUGCAACAACCAAAGAAACAUGUCAUCCAUACUAAUGAUGGUAGGUUAUUUAAGAACAUUUUUAUAAAUUUUGAAAGUUGGUCUCAUGACUCAAAGUGAAAGUGUGCAUUUGUUGUUUUUUCAUCAGAUUUGACUGUCCUGCAGCAAGGGGCUGUUAAAGUGCCCUCCUCCCCAAGUAUGACAGAUACAUUGUCUGUGUCAAGCAGUUUGAGCAGCAGUGAUUCUGGAUCUCAAAUUAUUCAACCUUUAAUGGGCAGUGUCCAAAAAAAUAAAAUCGAGCAAAUUCUAACUUCAAAGCCAGCAGAGUUGACUGUGAUUGAGGAGUAUGACAAGAUAUUUUUUUACUGCUUUUGAUUCCUGUGAAGUUAAUUUUAUAUAAUGUAAUGUGUUGAUUGUCUCAUGCAAUUUUACUAAGUCAUUGGUUUUAGUUGGCACUAGCUGCUAACAUAUAUUAAUUGUAAAUGUUUUGCUGUUAGAUUUAAUGCUUUGAUGACAAUUAAUUUCAAAGUGUGUACAUCGAUGGAAAUUCUAAAUCUAAUGUGUGGAUUUGCAUGAAUAAAAGCAGUAAGUAAA